AAAAGCACUGCUAGGGGAGAUACCAUGAUCACGAAGGUGGUUUUCCCAGGGUGAGGCUCAUCCAUUGCACUGCGGGUGUGCUGACCCCUGCGAUUUCCCCAAAUGCGGGAAACUCGACUGCAUAAUUUGUGGUGCUCACAAUGCAUAUACUUUGUUC
rnacentral:snRNA from 1 species